UGCGUAGGCGGCUUGGUAAGUCACGUGUGAAAGGCCGGGGGCUCAACCCCCGGAUCUGCAUGUGAGACUGCCUGGCUGGAGCACGGUAGAGGCGGGCGGAAUUCCUGGUGUAGCGGUGGAAUGCGUAGAUAUCAGGAAGAACACCGGUGGCGAAGGCGGCUCGCUGGGCCGUUGCUGACGCUGAGGCACGAAAGCGUGGGGAGCAAACAGGAUUAGAUACCCUGGUAGUCCACGCCCUAAACGAUGGACACUAGGCGUCGGGGGGGAGCGACCCUCCCGGUGCCGUCGCUAACGCAAUAAGUGUCCCGCCUGGGGAGUACGGCCGCAAGGCUAGAA
rnacentral:rRNA from 1 species